rfam:Salmo salar isolate Sally breed double haploid chromosome ssa01, whole genome shotgun sequence.
UCCCGUGUGGCUCAGUUGGUAGAGCAUGGUGUUUGGAAUGCCAGGGUUGUGGGUUCAAUUCCCAAGGGGG